rnacentral:rRNA from 1 species
AUUGAACGCUGGCGGCAGGCCUAACACAUGCAAGUCGAACGAGUGGCGGACGGGUGAGUAAUGUCUGUGAAACUGCCUGAUGGAGGGGGAUAACUACGGGAAACGGUAGUUAAUACCCCAUACCAUCAGUUGUGCCUAGAUGGGAUUAGCUUGUUGGUGGGGUAAAGGCUCACCAAGCCGACGAUCCCUAGCUGGUCUGAGAGGAUGACCAGCCACACGGGAACGGAGACACGGUCCAUACUCCUACGGAGGGCAGCAGUGGGGAAGAUUGCACAAGGGGGGCAAGCCGGACGGAGCCAUGCGGCGUUGCUGAAGAGGGCCUUCGGGUUGUAAGAUACGUUCAGAGGGGAGGCGGUAACUGCAGAAGAAGCGCCGGCUAACUCCGUGCCAGCCGCCGCGGUAAUUC